GUCUGCCUUGAAGAUCGGAGUGCUUGCACUCUGUGAAACAAGAUACAGGCUAGCGGCGGACGGGUGAGUAACACGUGGGUAACCUGCCCAAGAGAUCGGGAUAACACCUGGAAACAGAUGCUAAUACCGGAUAACAACAGAUGAUGCCUAUCAACUGUUUAAAAGAUGGUUCUGCUAUCACUCUUGGAUGGACCUGCGGUGCAUUAGCUAGUUGGUAGGGUAACGGCCUACCAAGGCGAUGAUGCAUAGCCGAGUUGAGAGACUGAUCGGCCACAUUGGGACUGAGACACGGCCCAAACUCCUACGGGAGGCAGCAGUAGGGAAUCUUCCACAAUGGACGCAAGUCUGAUGGAGCAACGCCGCGUGAGUGAAGAAGGGUUUCGGCUCGUAAAGCUCUGUUGUUGGUGAAGAAGGACAGGGGUAGUAACUGACCUUUGUUUGACGGUAAUCAAUUAGAAAGUCACGGCUAACUACGUGCCAGCAGCCGCGGUAAUAAGUAGGUGGCAAGCGUUGUCCGGAUUUAUUGGGCGUAAAGCGAGUGCAGGCGGCUCGAUAAGUCUGAUGUGAAAGCCUUCGGCUCAACCGGAGAAUUGCAUCAGAAACUGUCGAGCUUGAGUACAGAAGAGGAGAGUGGAACUCCAUGUG
rnacentral:rRNA from 1 species